rnacentral:rRNA from 1 species
GACAGAGGGUGCGAACGUUGUUCGGAAUUACUGGGCGUAAAGCGAGUGUAGGCGGUCUGCUAAGUCGGGUGUGAAAGCCCUGGGCUCAACCCAGGAAGUGCACUCGAAACUGGCGGGCUAGAGUAUCGGAGAGGUUGGUGGAAUUCUCGGUGUAGAGGUGAAAUUCGUAGAUAUCAAGCGGAACACCGGUGGCGAAGGCGGCCUUCUGGACGAUGACUGACGCUGAAGCGCGAAAGCGUGGGGAGCAAACAGG